rnacentral:rRNA from 1 species
AUUGUGUCCUGCGGUGUCGGUCUACCGAAUGCGGUACGACAGGCACGUCUGCGGGGCUUCUCGCCGGUGCGUCCACCGCCAGCGUGCGUCGGUCGGCCUCACGGUCGGCCGCGUGCCGAGGCGGGCCGUCGCGGCUGUUUACUUUGAACAAAUUAGAGUGCUCAAAGCGGGCUAACACUUGCCUGAAUAUUGUACGCAUGGAAUAAUAGAAUAGGACCUCGGUUCUGUUUUGUUGGCUUUCUGAUACCAGAGGUAAUGAUUAAUAGGGACGACUGGGGGCAUUCGUAUUGAGACGUCAGAGGUGAAAUUCUUGGAUCGUCGCAAGACGGACUAAAGCGAAAGCAUUUGCCAAAGGUGUUUUCAUUAAUCAAGAACGAAAGUUAGANGUUCGAAGGCGAUUAGAUACCGCUGUAGUUCUAACCAUAAAUGAUGCCAGCCAGCGAUCCGCCGAAGUUUCAUAAUUUUAACCCGGUGGGCAGCUCCCGGGAAACCAAAGCUUUC